rnacentral:snoRNA from 1 species
UACCCAUGAUGUGGACACUUCAAGAAUCGUCCAUUGAAUCGCUCUCAUGCUUCGAAAGACUGCUCGUCUUCUCUUUGGGUAAACUCUGAAAUUUUCCUGCGAAU